CCGCGUUUGGAGAUUGAAGAGGUAAUGGGCAGGAGUACAUCUUCUGGGAAUAUAAGCUACCUAUUCAUGCAAUUCAUUUGUGUCUACAAGACCUGCUUGGUUCGGGCUAACGUGUGAAGAAUGGAUUAGAAGAAGUCGAGAAUGUAACAAGGUGGGACCACCCUGGAGAACAGCGUCCAGGAGGAUGAGCAGGGCUCUGGAGAAGAACAUGGGGUAGAUGCACUGGCAUGGAAGAAUAUACAUUCAGAUAAAUGGAAUAGAAUGGGACGGAGGGAUACAAGGUAAAGA